AUCUAAGACUACGAAUUAUUGACUCAACAAGCUACUAUCCAUUACAGAAGUAUCAUUAGAAAAGACUGUUCACUUCUCAAGUAGAUAAAUGCUGAAUGCAAAGCUCACAUGUGAGAGACUUAACACUAUAUAUACUACCCAAGAGGUCACGGGGUGCGGGCCAUCCAACACAAACAGCGUCAUUACAAAUUACAGGCUCCCAAGAAUAA
rnacentral:misc_RNA from 1 species